rnacentral:rRNA from 1 species
UACGGGGGGGGCAAGCGUUGUUCGGAAUUACUGGGCGUAAAGGGCUCGUAGGUGGCCAACUAAGUCAGACGUGAAAUCCCUCAGCUUAACUGGGGAACUGCGUCUGAUACUGGAUGGCUUGAGUUUGGGAGAGGGAUGCGGAAUUCCAGGUGUAGCGGUGAAAUGCGUAGAUAUCGGGAGGAACGCCGGCGGCGAAAGCGGUGCACUGGUUGACUUCUGACACUCAUGUGCGAAAGCCAGGGGAGCAAACGGG